rnacentral:rRNA from 1 species
UACGUAGGGUGCAAGCGUUAAUCGGAAUUACUGGGCGUAAAGCGUGCGCAGGCGGUUUUGUAAGUCUGUCGUGAAAUCCCCGGGCUCAACCUGGGAAUUGCGAUGGAGACUGCAAGGCUAGAAUCUGGCAGAGGGGGGUAGAAUUCCACGUGUAGCAGUGAAAUGCGUAGAGAUGUGGAGGAACACCGAUGGCGAAGGCAGCCCCCUGGGUCAAGAUUGACGCCCAUGCACGAAAGCGUGGGGAGCAAACAGG